rnacentral:misc_RNA from 1 species
GAAAAAUAAACUGGGUGGUGGUCGACGUCGCAAGACUAGACCCUACCUUUUUAUCCACACACCUGUGCACUGUAGAGCCUUUGAUCUUUAUUGGUCGGGGUUCGCCCUUUAUAACAAACAUUAGUAGUCCUUAAACGUAACGUCUUAUUAUAACCUAAUA